rnacentral:rRNA from 1 species
CAGCAGUCGCCGCGGGAAUACGAAGGGUGCAAGCGUUAAUCGGAAUUACUGGGCGUAAAGCGUGCGUAGGCAGUGAGUUAAGUCUGCUGUGAAAUCCCCGGGCUCAACCUGGGAAUGGCAGUGGAUACUGGCUCGCUAGAGUGUGUCAGAGGAUGGUGGAAUUCCCGGUGUAGCGGUGAAAUGCGUAGAGAUCGGGAGGAACAUCAGUGGCGAAGGCGGCCAUCUGGGACAACACUGACGCUGAGGCACGAAAGCGUGGGGAGCAAACAGGAUUAGAUACCCCAGUAGUCCCUGUCUCUUAUAC